AGGAAUCUCAUCUCAUUUGAAGCCUCUUUUAAUUAAUAGAUUGUGCUUUUAACAGACAGGGAAAGAAAGACAUACAGAACUGGAGUUCUUUUAAAAUUUUCUAUGUUAACUACUUUAAUUCCCUGGAGUCAAUGAGUAGCACUAAUUAAAUUUAUGGAACUUACUCAGGGGAUCUGCAUAGCCAAGAGAUCAUCCAGAGGUGCCAAUGGCUAGGUCAGCAUAUUAGAGGGAGAAGGUGCCUGAGCUAUCCAGUCCAACCCCAUUAUUUUGUAGGUGAUAGGAUUGUGACUCAGAAGGAAAGGGCUUGCCUAAGACUCACAGCUCAUUUUUUGGCAAAACCAGGACUUAACUCCAGAUUUUUUGUUUAUUUGUUUUAUUUUGUGUGGCUUAAUCUUUGGGUUCAAAGCAACAAAAAUCUCACCAAACUACCUUAACCAAAAAGGGGAAUUUAUUGAGACCAUGUAAGAAUUGUUCUAGGUCUUAGAUUACUAGGCAGUAUGAGGGAAUGCAACCCAGACUAGUGAGUUAAGACUGUUAUAUUGCUUCUCUGGCUUUCAAAAAGGUCACCAGUUGUCAGCAUGUGUGUUACAUUUGUUUCUCAGAUGUAUACAGCUUGGCCAGCAGUGUGAAGUGUGUAACUAUCCAAAGGUCUGUAAAGGCACUGAUUGCUGAGUCGACCCCAUAAUUUCUAUCUCUUGGGGUAGAUCUUGAAGAGUUGCAUUUCUAACAAGUUCCUGUAUGAGGCUGGCAGAACAGUUUGAGAACCUCUAGCUCAAAGAAUUCUGAAUUUGAUUUUCUUUAGACAAAGCAUGCCUCUUCAGUUCUUCUUACUCAAAUUGUUCUUCCUGACCUUUCAGAGUAUGGGAGCCCUGCCCAAGGCAUUAUUGCAUGUGAUUACUCUAUUUUUUUUUUUCCUGUAAACCAACUUCCUCUUCUCUACUCACACAAGGACCAUGAUGACUUCCAAGUCUUUCCUGGCUUUCCUAAAGGAAGUCAUUCCUUAUUCCCCAUUGCUUUAUAAGUCCAGAGCGCUCAGGUGGUUAGGGCAGGGCAGGGCCAUGAAACAUGGUUACAGACAUGCACUUCUUAGGAUGGAGGAGGAAAACAUAUCACAUGGUAUCUGUCAUGAUAUUUCUUGGAACACAGGUGUCCAACAAAAUGCCAAUGACUUAUGCAGUAGGUGAGUAUGUUUGGAAAACAAUGAGAUUAAACCAAUUUCAAUAGUAGUUUUGUUUGUAAUCUGUAAAUAUGCAUGUGACUGUCCAACAUGGUAAUCAAGAAUGCAACUUUUCCUACUUGUACAUAACAGAUCCUCUUCUAAGCAUAAGGCUUUGUUCUAGAACCUGGAAAAUACAAUAGCAACAGAGGAAAUACAUUUUGAAUUUUACAUUCCAGUGAGAGGAAGACAUGAAAUGCAAUACAAUGUAGUACAACAUGAUAUAUCACAAUACAACGUGAGACAUUGGA
rnacentral:lncRNA from 1 species